UCUUCGUCUCAUUCACUUAGGAAGCGUCCGCAAGGUUAUACCCAGCCGGAGAUCUACUGCACACUCUAUAAUAGAGUUUCAUCCAGAUAAUAUACCCACACACAUCCACAAGCAGAUUUUUAUUUUCAAGUUGAGAUAUAUACCGCUUAUAUAAAUUUACAAAAGAGGUAUAUAUCUCAGUUAGCUUCGGGAAAAAAAACCUGUUCAAAAAAUGAAACAAAACGUGACAAUGGUGGACGUCGAAAGAACAGGAUGUCCUGCCUCAACGAAGACAUUCGACCUUUGCAGCAACAAUGGCAUUAAUGGCCAUGUCGAAGUGAUGGAGCGCGAAGAAGGGAAAAACGAGAAAGGUAUUCGGUCUCCGGAAGAAAGGGAGGCCAUGCUAACCGGCGACGUGAAGCCGCUCCAGAGCCGGGUUUACUGCACCAGGUUCAUGAUCCUGAUCGUGUUCAGCCUCUACUCCAUGGUGAACGCCUUCCAGUGGAUCCAGUACAGCAUCAUCUCCAACAUCUUCAGCACUUUCUACCAAGUGUCGUACGAGCAGAUCGACUGGCUGUCGGUGGUCUACAUGCUCGUCUACGUGCCCCUCAUCUUCCCCGCCGCCUGGCUGCUCGACAAGAAGGGCUUGAGGAUCGUGGCGCUGCUGGGCUCCGGCCUCAACUGCAUCGGAGCUUGGCUCAAAAUCGCAAGCGUAAGGCGAGAUCUGUUUGGGGUGACCAUGUUCGCCCAGACGGUCUGUUCCAUCGCUCAGAUUUUUAUCCUUGGGCUGCCCUCUCGAGUGGCCUCCGUAUGGUUCGGGCCCAGAGAGGUUUCCACGGCGUGCGCCUCCGCCGUCCUCGGCAACCAGCUUGGUGUGGCUUUUGGCUUUCUUUUACCUCCAAUUUUGGUGCCUAAUACUCCAGAUGAUCUUGAUUUGAUGGCAAACAACAUAAGUAUAUUGUUCUAUGGAACAGCAACAAUAGCCACAUUGUUAUUCAUCCUGGUUGUCGCAGUAUUUAAAGACAAGCCUCCACUUCCUCCAAGCCAGUCCCAAGCAGUGCUUUUGGAUAAUCCUGAUGAGUAUUCCUACAAACAGUCGAUUAUAAAUUUGUUUAAGAAUGUUCCAUUUGUGCUACUGUUACUUAGUUAUGGUAUUUUGACGGGGUCAUAUUAUUCAGUAGGAACACUAUUAAAUCAAAUGAUCAUUGCUCACUAUCAGGGCCAAGAAUUGAAUGCUGGGAGAAUUGGACUAACUUUGGUGGUGUCAGGGAUGGUAGGUUCCAUCCUCUCGGGUUUCUGGGUGGACCGCACAAAGGCAUACAAGCAGACUACCCUUGCAGUGUACAUUAUUUCAUUUAUUGGAAUGCUCGUUUUCACGUUCACGUUAAAUCUUGGCCAUAUUGAAGUAGUCUUUGUGACAGCGGGCGUCUUGGGUUUUUUCAUGACCGGUUAUCUUCCAUUGGGCUUUGAAUUUGGUGUAGAAAUAACCUAUCCAGAAUCCGAGGGGACAUCAUCUGGACUUCUCAAUGCUUCUGCACAACUAUUUGGAAUUGUGUUCACUCUGGCCCAAGGAAAGUUGAAAGCUGAUUAUAAUACAUUUACAGGAAAUAUCUUUCUUUGUUCGUGGAUCUUUGUGGGAAUCAUCCUUACAGGUAAUUGGCUGUUUUUACCAUUUAAUCUUAAUGUGUAAUGCGUUGCUGUUUGAGAAAAGCAGCACCUCCAUCCACUAAAUAUAUAAAAGAUAAUGUGGAACAAUGAAAAGCCAUUUGGCCAUUUAAGGCCAUUCUCUCCACAGAUCUUUUACAUUAUUCCCUAUUCAGGACUCCAUCCUAGUCAGGUUUGCGCAGGAGCCAAACAACGACUGAAAAAACUCCCAAGAAGAUAAAGUUCUGAAUUUAUUUACCCCCAAGUUCACUCCUGUUCCCUUGCUCUUAUCCACACCUGAAGAACAAUGAAUGAAAAUCUUUGGAUUAAUCUGACCAUUCAGUAUGUGCUACCUAUGGUUCCCACAAAGUAGCAACCAUUAUGUUCUGCGAUGAAUAAAACCAACUGUUUCUUUUUAAAGCUCGGAACCUCUACAAUGGUCCUUCAAACAUUUAUCCGGCUCAUUUUGUUUUACGGAAUUUAUGGAGUUAAUUGCCAUUGCAUUAACUACUUUCGCCUGGAAUCUACAUUUUGAAAGGGGGGGAGAGACAUUUUCUUUAAUUCUUUAUUGGCUUAUGACGUUGCUAAUUUCCUUCUGUUUUAAAAAUCAGUCCAAACCCCUGCCUCCCGUUUAUCUUUGCUGCUCUUCAUGUUCUCGUGCCUCAAGGGGUUUGAAGGUUAAGAUUUUCUGAUAUCAAGAUUGGACCACUAAUAUAUUAAGUGAAAAUAAUUUAUUUUGGUUUAAUUAUUUAAGAUACUUUCUGACAUUCUAACUCUAGUAACAUUGCAAUGGUUGGAUCUUUGCAGAAAAGUGUUAUUCUUCAAGCAAGUUAUUUUCCAUAAUUCAUUGUUUGCAUCCAUUCUAUAUAGUCAGCUACUUCCCACCCACAUUUGUUAAUCUACUGGAAGUUAUCCAAGAUUUAUGCUAUUGGUUUCAAUCUUGUGAAAUGACUAUUACUUUGGUGUUCAAACAAUUAAACUAUUUGAAGGUUCCUUCUUUCAUCGUGUUUUCCUCAUUAGUCACCUAGCCCCUAUUCUUCAGCCUAAGUGCAUUCAUUUAGUUAGUCUUCUGUGGAACUUUGUCCAUUUUUUUUCCUGAUGACCGAGUUCAAGAGUGUUUAUUUGUCAUGAACUUGAACAACGGAAUUCUUGUUGCAGCUUUACAAGCACAUUUGAUGCAACAGCAUCAAUAUAUUAUCAAUUAUUCUAAGUAGACUGGACAAUUUAUAAUGGCUUGGACAUUGUUCUUUCUUUGUUGCUUUGUCUUAUAUGUCUUUUAUUUAUAUAGCACAUUUUUAGUCAACUUGCAUUGACCCCAAAGUGCUUCACAUAGUUACAUCCACACACACAGGCAAAGGUGGGUGAAGUGUCUUGCCCAAGGACACACACAGGCAAAGGUGGGUGAAGUGUCUUGCCCAAGGACACAACGACAGUAUGCACUCCAAGCGGGAUUCGAACCAGCGACCUUCCGGUUGCCAGCCGAACACUUAGCCCAUUAUGCCAUCUGUCGUCCUUUAUUGCAACCUUGAACGAUUUCAUCAUGUUUAUGUGGCAUAAGUUGUUGCUCUGAAACAAUGUUGAUUACUUAUACCUUAAAGUGUACCCUGUACUCCCCGGCCACCAUGUUAACUCCAUGUUAACAUGAGAAGUAAUUAAGUUAGUAUUUUCUCCCUGUUGCCACUUGAUUAUUUUUUUACUGUGCACAAUUAAUUCCUUCUGUUUAUCAGCCUCUUCACUUUGAAAAUAAUGGCUACGUAUGGAAUAUGUCCAUAGUUUUGAUAAUGAAGAUUGAUAUUAGCACAAUUUCUUUCCCCAUUCUUGUCCUUUAAGCAGCAACCAAAUGGGUUAUUUUACUGAGACAUUAUGUCUUACUGCUCUCCUUUUAAUUAUAGGUUCCACUCCACUGGUUUCUUGCUACUUUAAGGUAGCCUUCUUUCACAUUUGGAUCGUUCCAGAUUUCAUUGACUAUUCCAAAAUAUCAGGAGUGCUGGUGAUAUUUUUCACAAGCAUUCAUUUAAAAUAAAUUGGACUCUGCCCUGGCUGUUUUAAUUUGCUAUGCAUGCAUCAGUUGCUUGACCAAAGGUUCAAAUAGAAUUUUAAAUCUAUUUGUUCUUUUGUUUGCUUAACAAGUGUACCACCUGUUUCUGAAUUAAGGAAUCUGUUCUGUUCCAGAAAGCUAAUCUAUUAUGGACCUAUUGUAGUUCUGCACUACAAUGAUUUACUUCCUGUAUAUAUUGUUCACCCAUCCUUUCAAUUAGCCCUACUUUAACAGUUUUCUACAAGUGUUCUGGUUCUACGUCAGUGGCACUUUGUUUUGAAAUACUGCCAUUUAUUCCACCAUAACACUUUUGCAGCUUUAAUAGGCAUUUUCCCCCUCAAGAAUUUGGUUAUUCUGUAAGGUGCCAAUAACAGCCAUUUUCUUCAGCUUUCAAUAACUUCCAGUUCCUCCUCCAAAUGGACCUUCUAUUUCCGUGUCUAAUUCAGCCACUACCAUUUAACCUUGUCGCAAACGUCUUUCUUCAUAAAGCAGUUCCAAGCAUAGUAUUUCUCUUUUAUUUUCUUUGUCCAAUAUAAUACUGUAUAAAUUGAGAAUCUACUAGACUUUGUCCACUUUUGAUUCUCUGGCAUUCUUGAGAUUCUAUGCACAUCCUUUUUUCGGAUUAUUUAAAUUCCGAAACUGUCUUUUAGCAACUUAUUUUGACAGUCUUGCUGCACUCAUUGGGCGUUUACCCCACUGGAAAGAAGGCUGUAUCAACCAUGCCAACUCAAGGCUUAAAUUCUAUCUACCUUCACCAUUUGUUGAUAUAAAAUUUCAACUGACUGUAACUGUAAACAUUGUGCACACUCUCCACCCAAAGUAUUGUUUAUAUUCUUAACCAAUUUACCCAGUUUUUUUCCUAAUAAAUCGCAGAGCUCCUUUUACCAGCUGCUCCUCUCUCCAGCACAGGAAGUAUAUAGCCAGUUCAACAAACUACAGGUACUAAGUUUUGAUUGUAUGUUGAGUACUGUAAAUACUUAUAGUAAAUUAUUGUAGGUUUCACGACUUUUAAUGCAAUUCAAUUAGCAAAAACUGUAUUGGGUGAAUUAGUUAAUUAGAAGCUCAUUUGGAAGAUUGAUAGUACAUAUAGAUAGAAUUCAGAAACCUGAGAGGGGGGGGGGGGGGGUCAACCAGUAGUGAACAAAAUGUGAAUAUAGAGGGGUGGUGUUAGUUUUUCUUGAGCAAUGAAAGUCAAAAGUUUAUUUAACUUCACUGAAGUCCUGAUGGACAAUUACUGAAGAAUUUUGACUAAAAGUUUGAAAAGACCUACUAUCAUGUCGCAGUGCAGAUCACAUGAUCCCCAACAUGCUCUUCUGGUUAUCCAGGUGCAGCUCUUGGUGGAUAAAUCCACAUCUCUAUCCUUUAGGCUUAGACAAGAUACGGAGCAAGAAAUUCUUGAGGUUCCAUAAGAGUGAGUUGUUCUCCAGUGGUAGGCUGCUGCUAAUGGUUAGUCCUAGGAGAGGUUGUGCACAAAUUCUUGACAACUUACACUGACCUACACAGCCUUCUGAAUAUAUUGCAGCUUUUUAACAUAUUUCAAGUAUCUUCUCUGUACAGUGUGUGAAUGUUAAAACGCUAAUCACUAUUCUGUCACUUGAAAAGGCAUAUGGCAAAACUUGGUGGCUAUGCAAGUGAUGGUAAGAAGAAGCAGUGGUAAGGGAUCACGUUCACUAAAUAAUUGUGAAUGAAAAGUUCACUGAAAGGAAGACACUAUGUAAACUGUAAAGGUAGCUGAAACAACUUUCAAGGAUCUGACUCCUUCAGAGACAUUAUGAUCAUAAACUAUUAAGCUUUCAUUCUUGCAGUUUUACAUCCUGUGAAGUCUUGAGCAUCUGCAGCUUUGUGACGCACACAGCUCUUGUUUGGUUUGCUGGCAUGUUUUUUAUUAACAAGUCAAUUGUGAAGCUAGUCUCUUUAGGUUUUUAGGAAAGAAAUAUAACCAGUCUACAUGAACGAACCAGGAUUGAGACAGUCCAUGGACAAUCGUGUACAGGGUAAGGUGGCGUCAUGCUGCUGCUGCAAGUAAAAGAAACCAGAAACAAAUUUUUGAUAGGAAUUUGAUUGUACUAUGGAUGGAAUACUGUCACCUCACCUCUGGGAGUUCUGUCGAAAUGAGGCUGUAUGUAGGAUAUGAAAGGCUCCUUUAGAGUAGUUUUAAAUGCAUGAUUUGCAUCUAAUAAUCUACUUUAUUCACACCAGGGGCAGCUGGUGGUUUGACACCAGUUAGAAACCUGUCUUUGAGAGGCUGGAAACUAAAAGUAGCUGAGGAAAAUGUCACGCUAAUGUUUGAAGGUUACGGUUCAGACAUUUUUGUUGGGGCAGAUUAAAGGGAGUUCUACUCUGCAUCUGACUGAUCUAUGACCGUAACAGGUGGGCAUAAAGCUGGCCAGGGCUGGCAAAAAAUGCCGUUCUGACUUAACAAAAUAAUUAUGCAUCUGACAAGCUAUAAAUAUUAUUCUACAUGCAUCAAAACAAGUUAGUGUCAGUUUGUUUUUUGUUUCUUCAGCAGAAAGUACAUACUCUAGUCUGUCCACCCUCUGAUGUGGAAAUGUGACAUUUUUUCCUCCAGCCACUAGACGUGGUAUGCAGUUGAUUGUUGUUAAAGUUUUCAUAAAAACAGACUUAAAAAGACAACAAGCAAACCUAGCUGCAAAUGCCCAGCUUGCUGAUCGUGAUUCACUAGAAAGAGUUUCCACUUCACAAAGUGAACUUCAUGCACCAGAAGAAACUACAAUCUAAUAAAUAUGGGAGAACAGAUGGCAGUGGUACAGCGCACAACUAGUAAAUGGCACUGAAAUAAAUAUGAAGAGCUGCUAAUGGUGCAAUGGUUAGAAAAAUGUGAUAAUUUAUUAACAGUGACCAAUAUUUAUUAGUAGUUCGAAUCAUGGAAUCAUUUCACUGGUUUCAAGAGCAUUAGGUUGUUCCAGUCAGAUAGAUAUUUUUGCAAAGAAAAAUUGGAAGUUUGACUGGUUUGAACAAAUAAUUUCUACAGAAGACUUAAACUGGACCAGAAUUCAAUUUUUAUAUGUAAAAAUGUAUCGGAGCCAACUAACUUGAACAUCUAUGUCAGUCUUACAUAUGGAGUUUGUUUUAAGUAUUAUUUUGAAAUGCUACUAUACCAAUGCCUCUGGUAAUUUUCCAAAUGUAAGCACACUGAGUUUUUGACAUUCUCAUUGUUUUAGAAAUAAAAUUGCUUUGAGAUUUUGUUAUUGCUCUUGGGCAUGUUGGAUGAGUUCUGAGAACGGGUCAGUGUUCUGAAAGGUAAGGGAGAAUUCAGCCUCUCAAAAAUGUAAACUCUAGCCUUCUUAAUGUUCAAAGAAAGAAAUAGUUUUUUAAGUUAAAUUGUGUAUAAAUAGCUCUUGCACAAUUUGUAACAUCCAUAAAAGCAAUUUCCAUGGAAAUGCACUUGAUACUUGUUAAGUAGUCAAAACUGUAAUGUGCUUAGCUAUAGCUUGCACAGAUUUGAUAUGUUUGUAAUAUAUAGUUGUAUAUAUCAGCAGCGAGUUGCAAUUUUCUGUUUUGGGUGCAUAGUUAUGCUAUGGAUGUCCAAUAGUACAUAUGUAAAAAUAUUAGUGGACAGAAGUUAUUCAUACACCACAGUCUGCACUUAAAUCUAUUCAAUUCACAGGAAUGAAUACAGUAGGUUUAAGUUCCACAGAUGAUAUUCUAUCUUUGACUUCAUAUGAAGCUAGAGAGUAAAAUUGUAAAGUUUGUUGUCCAAUGCAGUCUAUGUACUGUAAACCCCCAGAUGUUGGGGGGGGAGCAAAUAUCUGUUCAUCACAAUAGUUGUGCCUUUAAUAUUGAUAUGAAAAGAUGCAACAGAUUUUAACUAUUUAGGUGCAUUAAAUUCUAAGAACUGUAUUAAGAUCUAAACGAUCAACCUCGUGUAAGAUCAUUAGUCCGCUGGAUGGUACUGUAUAUAUUGGCAAUGUAGAACCAAAGUUAUUAAUUAUGUCUCUAUCCUUUCAUUGUUAAUCUUAGAGCAUCUGUACAGUUGAAGUCAAUUCUGGUUAUUCACUUGCAAAUACCCAUAGUUCUGUCACUUUACCAGAUGAUAACCAUCAAAUGAUGAACCUGUCACUGUGGAGUAAACAUAGUUGUAGUUACUUUGGUUCAUGUUCCACAUAUCUGUAUAUAAUUGUAUCAUUUUCUUCAUCAUGUGAUUUUAAUACACAAUGAAAUUUUUAUUUUGCA